CAGCCACCUCUCCUCCUCCACUUCGCUGCUCCAAAAUGCAUCAUUAGCUGUGUAAUGACUGGGAUUAGUGUGUUCCUGCUGAAAUGCUUUAGUACAUGAUGAAUUGUAGACUGUUUGCCUGGACCAUUCACAUCUAACAAAACACAAUUUGUUAUCCAAAACAAAGGGCUGGGUUUUUUUCCAGGGCACAGCUUUUUUAUGAAGCAGAGCUGUUAACCCUGCAGCCUGACAGAAAGCAGAUCACGAGGAGGAGAAGGUGUGUCAGCUGAGUGCUUCAGGCUUCUGAAGGCACUGACCAGGAACUGAAGGCCUGAACUUUGACUGCUGCUCCCCAGCUCUUACAGAGACGUGGCAAUGUUUGCUGUGGGUACCAGGCCUGAAAUAUCAGCAGUGAUGUCGUGUGAGGAAAGGAAAAUGUUCAAAGCCUUGACUCGUCAUUCAUCAGUGGAACUGGUAUCAGCAGAAACUUUUCAGUAUAUAUCAAAUGAUAGUGGAGAUAGAAGUGAGGAAAAUGAAAUGCUACACAUCAUUAUUUUCUUACUGAAUCUAGCAGAUUUGCAAACACUCACGCAAAACGGUAAGAAAGAAUUGCAUCUGUACAAGUUUAAAAAAUUAGAAAGGUGAGUUUUGCUGAAGGCAGGUUUGUAUUUUCAGAGAGCUAGGCAGUUUCUCAACACAAAAAUGACAUAGUUUCUUCCAUUAAGAGACCUGACAAAAUGAAAAUUACAGAAAAGGUUGACACAUUAUCACCAUGAUACACUGAUAAAAUAAUGCAGUUUGGUUUUGUUAGAGACAUUUUACAUUUAUAAACAUGGAUAAUAUUUCUGGGGUUUUUUAAAUUUUGUGGGCAUUUUUCCAGAAUUGUUCUAAGCAUUUAUUAUGAACGGCACAUCAGAGCCAAACUCUUACCU